GACGAACGCUGGCGGCGUGCCUAAUACAUGCAAGUAGGACGCAGUUGCGAACGGGUGAGUAACGCGUAGGUAACUACCUAUUAGAGGGGGAUAACUAUUGGAAACGAUAGCUAAUACCCCAUACUCGUAGAUGGACCUUCGUUGUAUUAGCUAGUAGGUAGGGUAAUGGCCUACCAAGGCAACGAUACAUAGCCGAGCUUGUAGGGUGAUCGGCCACACUGGGACUGAGCCACGGCCCGGACUCCUACGGGAGGCAGCAGUAGGGAAUCUUCGGCAAUGGGGGGAACCCUGACCGAGCAACGCCGCGUGAGUGAAGAAGGUUUUCGGAUCGUAAAACUCUGUUGUUAGAGAAGCGGUAUCUAACCAGAAAGCCACGGCUAACUACGUGCCAGCAGGCGCGGUAAUAG
rnacentral:rRNA from 1 species